rnacentral:rRNA from 1 species
GUGGGGAAUUUUGGACAAUGGGGGCAACCCUGAUCCAGCCAUGCCGCGUGCGGGAAGAAGGCCUUCGGGUUGUAAACCGCUUUUGUCAGGGAAGAAAUCCUUUGGGUUAAUACCUCGGAGGGAUGACGGUACCUGAAGAAUAAGCACCGGCUAACUACGUGCCAGCAGCCGCGGUAAUACGUAGGGUGCGAGCGUUAAUCGGAAUUACUGGGCGUAAAGCGUGCGCAGGCGGUUUUGUAAGAUCGAUGUGAAAUCCCCGGGCUCAACCUGGGAACUGCAUUGGUGACUGCAAGGCUGGAGUGCGGCAGAGGGGGAUGGAAUUCCGCGUGUAGCAGUGAAAUGCGUAGAUAUGCGGAGGAAAACCGAUGGCGAAGGCAAUCCCCUGGGCCUGCACUGACGCUCAUGCACGAAAGCGUGGGGAGCAAACAGGAUUAGAUACCCCUGUAGUCC